rnacentral:rRNA from 1 species
GACGAACGCUGGCGGCGUGCUUAACACAUGCAAGUCGAACAGAAAGGCCCUGCUUUUGUGGGGUGCUCGAGUGGCGAACGGGUGAGUAACACGUGAGUAACCUGCCCUUGACUUUGGGAUAACUUCAGGAAACUGGGGCUACUACCGGAUAGGAGCUCCUGCUGCAUGGUGGGGGUUGGAAAGUUUCGGCGGUUGGGGAUGGACUCGCGGCUUAUCAGCUUGUUGGUGGGGUAGUGGCUUACCAAGGCUUUGACGGGUAGCCGGCCUGAGAGGGUGGACGGCCACAUUGGGACUGAGAUACGGCCCAGACUCCUACGGGAGGCAGCAGUGGGGAAUAUUGCACAAUGGGCGGAAGCCUGAUGCAGCAACGCCGCGUGCGGGAUGACGGCCUUCGGGUUGUAAACCGCUUUCGCCUGUGACGAAGCGUGAGUGACGGUAAUGGGUAAAGAAGCACCGGCUAACUACGUG